UACGUAGGAUGCAAGCGUUGUCCGGAAUUAUUGGGCGUAAAGAGCGAGCAGGCGGUUUGGAAAGUUGGACGUGAAAUUUUAGGGCUUAACCCUAAAGGGUCGUCCAAAACUCCCAGACUAGAGUGCAGGAGAGGAAAGCGGAAUUCCCGGUGUAGUGGUGAAAUGCGUAGAUAUCGGGAGGAACACCAGAGGCGAAGGCGGCUGUCUGGCCUGUAACUGACGCUGAGGCGCGAAGGCUGGGGUAGCGAACAGG
rnacentral:rRNA from 1 species